rnacentral:rRNA from 1 species
ACGAACGCUGGCGGCGCGCCUAACACAUGCAAGUCGAACGAGCGAGAGAGAGCUUGCUUUCUUGAGCGAGUGGCGAACGGGUGAGUAACGCGUGAGGAACCUGCCUCAAAGAGGGGGACAACAGUUGGAAACAACUGCUAAUACCGCAUAAGCCCACGACCCGGCAUCGGGUUGAGGGAAAAGGAGCAAUCCGCUUUGAGAUGGCCUCGCGUCCGAUUAGCUAGUUGGUGAGGUAACGGCCCACCAAGGCGACGAUCGGUAGCCGGACUGAGAGGUUGAACGGCCACAUUGGGACUGAGACACGGCCCAGACUCCUACGGGAGGCAGCAGUGGGGAAUAUUGCACAAUGGGGGAAACCCUGAUGCAGCGACGCCGCGUGGAGGAAGAAGGUCUUCGGAUUGUAAACUCCUGUUGUUGAGGAAGAUAAUGACGGUACUCAACAAGGAAGAGACGGCUAACUACGUG